GAUGAACGCUGGCGGCGUGCCUAAUACAUGCAAGUCGAGCGAACAGACGAGGAGCUUGCUCCUCUGACGUUAGCGGCGGACGGGUGAGUAACACGUGGAUAACCUACCUAUAAGACUGGGAUAACUUCGGGAAACCGGAGCUAAUACCGGAUAAUAUAUUGAACCGCAUGGUUCAAUAGUGAAAGACGGUUUUGUUGUCACUUAUAGAUGGAUCCGCGCCGCAUUAGCUAGUUGGUAAGGUAACGGCUUACCAAGGCAACGAUGCGUAGCCGACCUGAGAGGGUGAUCGGCCACACUGGAACUGAGACACGGUCCAGACUCCUACGGGAGGCAGCAGUAGGGAAUCUUGCGCAAUGGGCGAAAGCCUGACGGAGCAACGCCGCGUGAGUGAUGAAGGUCUUCGGAUCGUAAAACUCUGUUAUUAGGGAAGAACAAAUGUGUAAGUAACUAUGCACGUCUUGACGGUACCUAAUCAGAAAGCCACGGCUAACUACGUG
rnacentral:rRNA from 1 species